rnacentral:rRNA from 1 species
GAUGAACGCUGGCGGCGUGCCUAAUACAUGCAAGUCGAGCGAACAGACGAGGAGCUUGCGCCUUUGACGUUAGCGGCGGACGGGUGAGUAACACGUGGAUAACCUACCUAUAUUACUGGGAUAAUUUCGUGAAACCGGAGCUAAUACUGGAUAAUAUAUUGAACCGCAUGGUUCAAUAGUGAAUGACGGUUUUGCUGUCACUUAUAGAUGGAUCCGCGCCGCAUUAGCUAGUUGGUAAGGUAACGGCUUACCAAGGCAACGAUGCGUAGCCGACCUGAGAGGGUGAUCGGCCACACUGGAACUGAGACACGGUCCAGACUCCUACGGGAGGCAGCAGUAGGGAAUCUUGCACAAUGGGCGAAAGCCUGACGGAGCAACGCCGCGUGAGUGAUGAAGGUCUUCGGAUCGUAAAACUCUGUUAUUAGGGAAGAACAACUGUGUAAGUAACUAUGGACGUCUUGACGGUACCUAAUCAGAAAGCCACGGCUAACUUCGUG